ensembl:misc_RNA Metazoa_SRP Metazoan signal recognition particle RNA
GCCAGGUGCAGUAGUGGGCACCUGUAAUCCCAGCUACUUGGGAGGCUGAGGCAGGAGAAUUGCUUGAACCCAGGAGGCAGAGGUUGCAGUGAGCCAAGAUGGCACAACUGCACUCUAGCCUGGGCAACAGAGCAAGACUCUGUCUCAA